ACACACAUGUGCACAAUGAUUCUUCAUUCAGUCAUUCUGCUCUUUGCUUUGACAUGUGUGGGUUUUGGAGAUGAAAUCACACCAGACAACACUGAGGAAUCUGCUGCAGUGGGUUCAACUGUUACUUUAUCCUGCAGUUAUUCCUCUGCAAAUUCACUUCAGUGGUACCGUCAGUAUCCUGGAUCAGCUCCUCACUUUCUUGUGUUUAUAGCGGAGAGUGUGAAAGGGAAUACGACAUCUGAUGUAGAUUCCAGGUUCUCCACUAAGCUCAGAAAAGAAAAACAAGCUACAAAAGAAAUCAAACGUGUGGAUCUGAUCAUCUCCUCUGCUGCUGUAUCAGACUCUGCUCUGUACUACUGUGCUCUGAGGCCCACAGUCACAGGAAACACAAGAACACUGUACAAAAACCUGACACAGAUAAAGUUCAGCUAUUUUUUUCCCCAUAAAUCUACCUCAUCAUCAUCAGAGAGCAGGAAGUUCCUGAUUGACUGUAUGACUCAGAUCCUGAGUAACUGCAGAAACUCAGAGCAUCACAAUCAACACAACCCAGAGAACAGAAGAACAUCAACAGAACUGAUCUGA